UGGGGAAUAUUGCACAAUGGGGGAAACCCUGAUGCAGCGACGCCGCGUGAGCGAUGAAGGCUUUCGAGUCGUAAAGCUCUGUCCUAUGGGAAGAUAAUGACGGUACCAUAGAAGAAAGCCCCGGCUAAUUACGUGCCAGCAGCCGCGGUAAUACGUAAGGGGCGAGCGUUGUCCGGAAUUAUUGGGCGUAAAGAGUGCGUAGGCGGCAAAUUAAGUCAGAUGUGAAAACUAAGGGCUCAACCCAUAGAUUGCAUCUGAAACUGAUAUGCUUGAGUCAAGGAGAGGAAAGUGGAAUUCCUAGUGUAGCGGUGGAAUGCGUAGAUAUUAGGAGGAAUACCGGUGGCGAAGGCGACUUUCUGGACUUGAACUGACGCUGAGGCACGAAAGCGUGGGGAACAAACAGG
rnacentral:rRNA from 1 species